rnacentral:rRNA from 1 species
UGGUUAAGUCCGCAACGAGCGCAACCCCUACUUGUUAGUUGCCAUCAUUCAGUUGGGCACUCUAGCGAGACUGCCGGUAAUAAACCGGAGGAAGGUGGGGAUGACGUCAAAUCAUCAUGCCCCUUACGACCUGGGCUACACACGUGCUACAAUGGUUGGUACAACGAGUUGCGAGUCGGUGACGGCGAGCUAAUCUCUUAAAGCCAAUCUCAGUUCGGAUUGUAGGCUGCAACUCGCCUACAUGAAGUCGGAAUCGCUAGUAAUCGCGGAUCAGCACGCCGCGGUGAAUACGUUCCCGGGCCUU